GUGGAUUCCAGAAUCCUUGCUGCUAGUGCAGCGGCUGCUAGUGCAGCAUACAAGCUCGAUAGUUCUUGGCCGCGGGUGCAUGUGGCAUGUUCCUCUCCCACCGGAAGAACUUCGAGGCUUGUUAUUGAGCAAGAAUCAUGAGCGCUAAGGUGCAUGUGCCAUGUUCCUCUCCCUAUCGGGGAUCUCGGCUCCGGGUGUAUGCGGCAUGUUCCUCUCCCACCGGGGGAUCCCUGACCACGGGUGUACGCAGCUCUGGGCGACCCGUUGGGCGAUGUGGUUUGUGGAUUGAUGGCUGAGGUGCAUGUGAUUGUUCCUUCACCUCGAGCCUGACAAAGCGCGGAUUAUCCGCAUAUGAUUGACUCAAGACCGAGUCGAGUGGCAUAGCUGGCUAAUGUAAAGUAACCUUAGGUAAGAGUGGUAAUGUGUAUAAUAUGGCUAAGGUGUGAGUACCCUUAGAAUAAAGAAUAAAGAAUAAAGAAGGGCUAAUGCUAAAGAUUGGCAAGUAAUAAAGAAUAAAGAAAGGCAAAUGUUAAAGAAUAGCUAGUAAAGUAAAGAAUGGCUAAGAGUAAAGAAUGGAUAAGAAUAAAGCGUAGAAGCAAUUAAUCUACUUAUGUGAAUUGCAUAAUGUGCAUGAUGCAUGUUGUGAGGCAAAAUGAUGGUAACGUUAGUUGCAUGAUUUAUGAUUUUAUAUCUAUCUAUUGGACUAACAUAUUGUUUGCCUCCUUUGGACCUGAUGGUCAAGCUCUUCCCUUAGGUGGUCGUACCCACUGGGAACCAUGGAGUUGGUUCUCACCCCACGUUGUUUUGGGGUGUUACAGGUUCGCACGUGAGUGGCGCGGCGGCGCGAGGCAAGGGCAUAGCUCCGUAGUUAGCGCCCUACCACCGAGACCAGAUAGUGGUACCCCGAGUCGGCAUAGCCUAGGGGUAGAGGAAAAUAAAAGAACAAGAUGUAUCAAACUUGUAAUAAAUUUGUAAUAAUUAGGUUGUAUUUGGAAGUUGAAUGUAAAAGAAUGUAAUUCGUAAUGUAAAAUAUAAUAUGUGAGAUGAAUGCUUAUAAUAGCAAGUAGAUUUAUGUUUUUGAUACUUCCUUAUGCAAUCUUUGGUUGAAAUGUGUUUCUUGUUGGAACUUCGUACAUUGUAUUGAUUGCGACGCCUUGAACGUACAGGGGAGACUCUGUCCGCGGUUCAAGGGAAACCCUGUCCGUUCGGCGGUCUGUUGGCGUGCCCAAAACCAACCAAAGAGGCGGGCUCGGGGCGGGACAGAUAAGAUGGUAUCAGAGCAUAAAAAGAACAUAAAAGAGUAUAAAGAUAAUGGUUUAGCUUGACCUAGGAGACUCUAGGAUAGUAAACUAUACGAGAUUAAGGCUCGUGAGAGACGAAGACUUGUGACUUGUGGCGAAAGGAUAAUGGAUUGGGUUAUGUGGUAAACCUCUAUAAUGGAUGUUAGAGGUAGAUCCAAGGUGUGGUUUAUUCUCAGCCAAGUGUGUUCAUGUUGGGCGUAGGACAACAUAAAAUCGAGUGAUGAGAAUAGACGCCCUUGUAUGACUUUCGCCCGAUUUGAGUCAAUGUUAAAUGUUUCGUACUCGACCUCGAAGAUUGAGAAUUAAUCGAGUUGUCAUGUUUCAGGGAACGAUGGCACCGCAUAGGCGAUCUUUGGCUAGAUCGACGCGGGAUAGGACAAGUGAUGUCCCUGAGCAAUCCAGAGCGAGAGGAGACUCGGAGCUCCGCAAACAGUUGGGAGUGCUUGUGGGCAUAGUGCAGCAUCAGCAGGAGGCUGCCAUGCGCCAGGAAGAACGAAUCAAGAGACUCCAGGAGACCGUGGAGCAGCUAGUGGCUGCGCCAGUUGUGGCUCGUCGAGGACGGGCAGGGCUUGCGAUAGAGAUGGUUCCGUCGGGGUCGAGCGAUCCGACUCCCGAAAGUGCAUUGGUGGAGACGGAGAAAGAGCGGGCUUUGGCGGCCCUCAUGACCUUCAAGAAGUUUGAUCCGCCUACCUUCGAUAGAGAGAAUGUCGAUCCCUGGAUUGUGGAUAUGUGGAUUGACUCUAUGGAAACGCUCUUCGAGGAGCUGUACACAUUGGAGCGGGACAAAGUGCCCCUAGCCAUGCAUUGCUUGAACCAAUCGGCGAAGGUGUGGUGGAAAGGCAUUCGGCGGAACCGAUCGCCUAAUCUUCUUCCUAUGGCAUGGGAUGAGUUUCAGGGAUUGGUGUUCUCAGCUUACUUCCCUGACAGUGAAAAGAGAAAGCUUCAGGACAGGUUUAGGAAGCUGCGUCAAGGAGACCACUCAGUGCGGGAGUACGAACGGGAGUUCUCCCGUAUCGUGGGAUGCGUCCCGGAUGUUGUACAGGAUGAGAAGGAUAUGGCCGAUUGGUUCUUACGUGGACUUCGACCAGAUAUUUACGAGAAGGUGCAAAUCCUCAAGCUCACAACCUUCGCGGAGGUGUUGGACCGAGCAUUGUGGGCAGAGCAUGGCGAGGCUUUCGUGCAUGAGGAGCGCAAAUCUCAUAAGCAUGAGCGGGGAGGGGCGAGGUCGCUAUUGAGCGGUUUGGAGGGGCAGUCAAGUUCUAGGUGCCACUCGAAGCUGUCCUCUACUCGAUCCUCCCCAGGUUGUGUGAUUUGUGGUGGUUCCCACCAGGCGCGGUGGUGCGCACUGCGUGAUAGAAGAUGUAUCUGUUGUGGGCAACCAGGCCAUAUGCGGGAUGAGUGUCCGUAAGGUGAUAGCCGGGCCUUGGCGUUGGUGACGGCUUUUUUCUCUCCGGGACAGCCGGCGGGUGUGCCACCUGUGGCACGGUCGGGAGAGCGAGCGAUGACAGUGAUGCAAUCGAGGAGUUCGCGGCGGGCGCUAAGAGGCCAUGGACACGCGACCCGGGAUAUGGGACCUGCUGCUGACGACGUCGUGGCAGGUAUGAGUUAUUAAUGCAGUUAUGUGUUUCUGCAUGAUGUAAAGUGGUGCAUUGCAUGCAUUGAGCAUAUAGUCACUUACUAUUAUAUGUGUAAGUAUAGUAGGGACCAAGGGGACGAGUAAAUGUGGAUACCCGGUUAUGCUUGUGUUGUGAGAGCGUAGCACCUACUGGUGCACGUAGCGAGCUAUGUGGCACUAGCGAGUUGCUAGUGAUGGUUUGGUGAUGAGACUCGUAGUAGAGAUGGAAAGGAUGGACCAACUCGUAAAGCAAUGUGUAGCAGAUUGCGAGAGUUGAGUUAUGACGCUGAUGGAUACUCAAGUAGUCUGAGUAUUCCAGAUGUUGUUCCAGUAGAUCGAACAGUGAAAGUGAAUCACUGUUGCGAGGUUUGUUGGAUAGUGCCAAGUUUGGCCUGUGAGCCUAGUUGUACCUCAAUGUGAGGUAGGAGAAUGUGCUUGGUAGACGAUACGCGGGGGUAAGAUUGCCCAAAGCCAAGACUUAGUGUAAAAUGCUAUCGUAGCGUACGAUGCCCGAGUAUAGGUACUCAUGGAGUGCAGAUUUAGUUCAGCCGAGUGAGUGGGUUGGUAGCAGCACUUGAGCGUUGCUAGGUGUGAAACGCGCCAUGGAUCACUCGUGGGGCUGGUGGCUCGCACUAGGUGCAUAGGAGCCGGUAUGUAAUAUACCGAAAAUUCGGAAAAUAAAUAUCGAACUUUAGUCAAAUUGACCAAAGUGCGAGGAUGGAACACUUCGGAAAGUCCAAAGGUGUUAAAAUGGUUAAAAGUGAGUUGCGGAUGGUUUUCGAGAGCUAGAUAAUUGAAUUCUGCAAAACUGCAGAUUUUCAGCUCUCGGGGACCGGUCCCUGAAGGGAGAGACCGGUCCCCGAACGCGUAUGAAAUGAGACAGCCGAAAAAUCGGCUAAGUCCUAGAAGGUUAGCUCUCGGGAACCGGUCUCUGCCUGAGAGACCGGUCCCCCAGAGACCGGUCCCACAAGGAGAGACCGGUUGCACUGCGCGCAGCAGCUCUGGCUUCGCAGGGUGGACGUUCGGGAACCGGUCCCUGCUCGGGGAGACCGGUCUCUGCCCGCGCGAACUGCCCAGUUCGGGCAGUGUAAUAAAGUGAAAGUUGAGGGGUUUAUUAGCAUUUUUGCAACCCAUUGAGCUAUGUUAGGGGGCUGAGGGGUUUUUCCUCUCAUUCCACUCCCUCUCACACUCUCUUCUCUCCCUCUCUCUCUCUAGAAGAUAAAAGAGAAGAAGAAGAAGAAGAAGAAAGGAAGAAAAGAAGGAAAAGAAGAGGAAGAAAGUGGAGAAGAAGAAGAAGAAGUGAAGAAACUCCUUCUCCUUCAUCUCUAGCUUGAAGAAAGGGAAGCUUAUAAGGUAAGCUUCAAACCCUAAUGUAGUAAAACCCUAGAAAUGGGUUUGAAUGAACCUAAGGUUGGGUUUUAAUGGAAUAUCUAGUAGUUUUGAAGCUUUCUUUUGCUUCUAAAGAGAUCAAAACCUAGUUUUGAUACAUAGGUGAGCUUGGACCACCUCUAAUGGUGAAAUCCAAACUAGGGUUUUGGAAAGCCUAAGAAUGGUUCUAAUGGACUAUUUAGAGUAUAAUGAAGCUACUUUUGCUUCCCAAUGAGAUCAAACCCUAGGUUUGAUAUAUGUAUUGAAGCUAGGGCACCAAAUUGGGGCUUUUGCUCAUGAAGGUUUCUAAGUGCAAUUGACCCUCUAAAAACCUAAUUGGGGGUAUUUCCGACGCGUUGGUGCGCUCGGAAUAGCAUUUCGAAAAGUGUAUGAAAAGUUAUGGGCAAAAUGGCCUAAUAAGGGUUCGUUUUGCCGCAGGUAAAGAACGAGGCAUCUAAAAAUCCUAAGAAAAUCAUCGGAGCACCUAAAGAGACCUACAAGGUGGGUGGUGCUUUUCAAACUCAUUGAAAUUCUCUCUAUGCCUAAUGUGUCAUUCUUUGAGCAUAUGUUCUAUAUAUUGUUGCAUGCAUUUUAGGGUAAAGUAAUGAUGAAAUGUGAUGAUUGCAUGAUUGUGAGCACAACUUGCAUAAUGAGAUGGUUGAGAACCUAAUAAUGUCAAAACCCUAGAUGUAUGCAUGAGAGAAAAUGUGAGCACCCAAAGUGAGCAAAAGAACAGAGUGGCACAAUGACAUAGAUCGAGUGGCAUUUGAAAAUGUAAAGUAAAGAGACACUAGAGUUAGUGUGAUGCAAAGAACCAAAGUAAUGUAAAGAAUGAUGAAAAUGACAAUGUGUAAAGUAAAGUAAAGUGGGGCAAUAAGAACAAGUAUUGUAACAAACAAGCAUGCUAGAGUUAGCAAGAGUAAAGAAAUGUAAAGAAAGUGAUUGCAUGAGUUGGCAACAUAAAGUGAUGUAAAGAACACUAGAGCUAGUGUAAAGUCAAGAUUGAACUUAUAAAUCCUUUGAGUUAAGGAUAUGAUCAUACUUGCUAUGAGUUCCGUGCUCGAGGGCGGUCGCUCCCCCUCGGGCGAUGCGCUCCGGAGUUAUGCAUCCGGGUUGGAGUAGACCCGUAAGGACGGUCCUAGCUGGUGAGUUCCUGCGAUGAUGGACUUAAUGUGAAGCAAGUUAAUGUGGCGAAACCCCCGGGUUAGCCUUAAUGAUUAAAGAACAAAGAGCAAAGAACAAAGUGUAAAGUGUAAAGAACGAAAGAACAUGCAUAACCUGCAUCUAUUUAAUGUUGAGCAUAUUUCUUGCUAUUUGUUCAGGCAUAUUAGCAUCAUGUUAUAGAUUGGUUACUAAAUCUUACUUAUCCUUUCUAUUAUGCCUGAGUUAGUCCUAGUGGGAAAGUCGGUGAUGUUGGGGCCGAACCCACUGGGAACUUUGUUGUAGUUCUCACCCCACUAUUUCCACAGAGCCGGGACCGAGCGAGCCGGCGAGCGACCGCGGUAAAGGUAUCGCGCCUUAGACAGAGGCCACCAAUGUCGGAUUUCAUUUUGUAGUAAAGUACCUUAUGAUCAUCUUUUGUAUUUGAUGAUUAGUAGUGUAAAGAAAAGAAUGUAAAGCUUAUUUGAGGAAAAUGUGAUGUAAGAAAGAAAUGAUGAAAUUUUGUAUUGGAAUGCAAAGAAUUCAAAAUUACUAGAUGAAUGCAAUGUGUAUGAUCCAAAAUGAAUCAUGUUACUUGUGAGUGUUUAGUUUCCUUUUUCUUUCACUAAUGGCUGUUGCUUACCCUCGAGUAAGCCGUUUGUGUAUGUUUCCGCUAGUGCACUUCUUAUUGAAAAUGUACAUGUGAUGAGCCUUGGGCGGAUAGGGGAAACUCUGUCCGUUCGGCGUCUGUUUGACGUGCUCGGGUCGGGCCAAAUUGGCAUCGGUCCCGGGGCGUGACACGGUAGUGAUACGCAUUGCUCGAUAGAGCGUGUAAUGCGAUUGAGAGUAUACUGAGAGUGCGAUUGUGACCCAACCCGAGGAUUUGUAACGGUUUGGGAUUUUAGUUGCUCCUGGUUGGAGUGUGAGCGAAUUCCCAAGUGAGAAUUUCACCCCAGUGAUGAUUGGGUCUACGCUUGCGAGUGAGAGAUGUUGCGCGUACGUUGAGACAGGUUUAGGCUGUAGGCCUACGUAAUAUUGGUGGCCUUUGGACCACCAAUGGAAACCGAGGAAAGCGAUUUGGCGGAUAGCCUUAUCGAGAGAUUUGACUCGAAUUCACGAACAAAGUGUUCUUGUGAGCUCUUUUCAAAAAUGGUUUGACGUUGACCGUGGCAUAUGGUAUCGAAAAAUGAAGUGCUCUUAGAGAGACCUUAUGCUUAUGGCAAGCCACAUGGAAUUUGAGAAUUGGAAGUGGGGAUGUGUAACACACUGGACCUUUGCAAAUUGCGAGGUUCGAGUGAUUGGAUGUGUUAUGAGUUUUUCCAGACUUUUUGGUGGGUCGUAGACAGUGUUCCGACCUAUGGCUCGUAUCCCGAGGAUUCAGGUUUGAAGCCUAACACCAAAACCCGAAAAAUCGGAUUUUUGGUUAGCUCUCGGGUAGCCUUCAGAGGGCUGUGUACCGGUACGGGGUGAUGGCUGUACCGGUACAGCCAUCAACAUUGGCUGCUUCUCAGCCAAUCCAAGGCUUGAGUUUGGCUAUUUCGUAGGAUGUGUACCGGUACGUGGGCCCGUGUACCGGUACGUAGUGGCAGUUUUUGAGCAGUUUGAACUGCAGGGGUGUUUUUGCUUUUGUUGCUAUCCUACUUAACACCACGCCCUUUGGGGCUUUCCCUGAGCUGAGGAAGGAGGAGAAGGAGGUAAGAGAGCCCUCCUUACCAUUUCCUUGGAUUUAUACUCCCUUUUAGCUUGGGAUUUAAGGUUUAAUCCCUCUCUUUUCCCCUUUUAUGUUUUUCCUCCAUGGUUGAAGCUUGGAGCUUGGAUUUGGAGCAUAGUUGAGGAAAGAUCUUUCGACUUGGAGAGUUUAGAGCUUGAAUUGAAGCUUCUAAGAGGUAAUCUACUAGUUCUCUCCAUCUAGAAUUGAGUUUUAUUGUUGGUUUUGAGAUGAAACCCUAGAAUGGAGACUUAGGGCUUGAUUUGGGUAUUUUUGAUCUAGGGCUUUUGGAACUUGAUUACUUGGAUUAGAACCUUCCCCUAGAUUGGAUUGGAAGGAUUCUAGCUCUCUUUUGGAGCUUGAGAGAGAUUUUUACCCCAUAGGUGAGAUUUUAGCCCUUUUGCCUUGAUGGUUAAUGUUUGAUCUUAUAGUUGUUCGUAACGCUCGUGUAGCUCUUCGCUCCUUACUUUUAGGGUACUUAGAGACUCGUGGACAACUCCGUUCGGCGAAUCGAAGGUCCACGCGACGGUUCGGUGGGUUUGACCUAGCCACAUAAUGAGAAAAUCUUAUUUGUGAUGAUUUGUGUAUCGUUAAAUGAAAAAGCAUGCAUAAUCAUAUUAAAUAUAAUUAUUGUGAAUUUUAGGAUGCUUAAUAUGUCUAUGUUAUGUGUAAGAAAAUUUCGGACCUCUAUGUAGUAGAGAACUAGCAUGUGGAACUUGUAUAUGUUUGGCAUCCUAUUGAGACUUGGAAUCAUAAUUCCUAUUUAGAAAAUGAGUAUCUCUUGCAUGCAUUUAAAGCUAUUUCUAUUUUAGACUUGAAGGUUCUUAGUAAGCCAUAAAGAGGCUCGGGGACUUGUACUACUUGUGAAUAAUUGGGCUAAUGUCAUAAAGGGGCAUUAAGCUCGGAUUAUGUGUGAACCUAAUGGAUAGUGCCAUUGAGAGAAUUGGAAUAUGCUUGUACAUCGAAAUGUCUAAGUGUCAUAAAGGGGCACUAGACUUAGAAAAUAUUGGAACUUCACAUUGUGACCUAGAGCUAGAUCAUUGAGAUGUUAGUGACUAUUACCAUGUUAGAGACAUGACGAGUGGAUACUUGAGACGAUGAUACGCUUGUUUUUCAUUUGUGCUCAUUCGCACAUACUUGUGAGGGUCGCUCCCUACCAGCCGGCACUUCGGAGUUGGCCUACGCGACUUAUGCUCACUCGUGCGGUAUCGAAAAACCUACGGGGUCGGGAGGGAUAGACUCAUUCCUAGAGUGGGAAUGCUGGAGCUACCACCGACACUUAGGUGGCACAAGCUAGACUACAAUAUGUGGGUCCUAAAACAUGUUGGAAACAAUGACAUUUAAUCGGGAGAUGACAAUUACUACUAGAUAGGAUUAGUAGUUGGAUUACUUUGACAUGCUUAUAGCAUAGUGUUGAGACAUGUAGUAUACUUGAUAGUUUACUUACUGUAUCAUAGUAUACUUGUUUUUCAUGAUAGAGCAUACUCGUUAUACAUUGAUAGAACAGGUCAUGACACAUACUUGUUGCCAUGUUGGAACAUAUUACUUAUGCAUUGAACAUUCUUCAUUAUGAAAGAGUAAAUGUAAAACAUUGACAUCGUAAUGUUUAUGGUAUAGUAAGCUUAGUAAACAUGCAUACUUUCAUACUGCAGUUAUCUUUAUUAUUGUUGAUGCUUACUGUACUUACCCUUUUCCUUUGGGGCCUAGUGGUGCAUUGAGCUGAGGUCAGUAAUUGCCCACUGGGAACUAUAAAUUAUAGUUCUCACGCUCUCUGUAUUAUGUUUUCUUUCAGAGCAUUCCACACCGGGAGAGGCUAGGGACCGUGGGAAGGGCGUUGCUUCGAGCUAUCUCUUCAGCGAGUGACGAGUUGAUAGGUGGUCUACCUCUCGAUGUUUUUAUUUUGGAGAAGUUGAGAGUUGUUUCCAUGUAUAGAGACCAUCCUUUUGUGUACCUUUUUUGGAGACGAUAUUGUAUAACUAUAUGUUUCACUCUUAUUAUUUUAGUAUAUUUUCCUUUACCAUGUGGUAGAUGAUAGAUGUAUACUUGCUCUGAUAUAUCUAGUUAUAGAUUUCCUUGGUUUUAUUUUCGCUGUUGUUGUAGAUGCCUUAUAUAUGUUGACAUAUGGCGGGUCUUUGCACGCUACCGGGCGUGACAACUACACUUAUUCUCAAAACAUGUCAUAGUGUCUCUACUACACUAGUCCAAAUGCCACUCGAUCUACUUGACACUCUACUUGUGCAUAUCGAGUAUUAUAAUUUUCAUAUUCUUAUUUUCCAAUGUCAAUUUCUCUAAUCGACCAAGUUCAACAUGCAUAAUUCAUCUACUAUAUUCCACAAUAUGGCAACAAGUAUAAUUCUUCUAUCAUAUGCAAUAUAUGUCAUCAUGUAUAUGUUUCUAUUUAAUAUAAUCCACAAUAUGUUAAUUCGCAUUAUGUCAUCAUGCACAUAUAUUACGAGCAUCACAUGAUAUGUCAACAUACAUAUAAUCAUCAUCCAAAGUAGUCUAUACUUAGCAUCUCAUGCAUUCUUUAGGAUUUAAUUCAUUAUACAUUUCAUCUCAUUGGUGGGUAAUAUCAACUACAUAGUAUGUUUCAAGCAUUCAUAUUAUCAUGUAAGCCUAUGUCACGCCCCGGGACCUAGCGGAAGCCCGCCCGGCGCGUGCCCAGACCCGCCAUAUGUCUACAACAUAUAAGGCGUCUAAAAGCAACAAUAAUAAAAGCAAUAAUAAAAGACAUCUAGGAGUAUCAGAGCAUAGUAAAUGUUUAAUUGCUACAACAAGGGAUAUGGAUAAAACUGUAAAUCCACUAAAUAAAACAUAAAGUGAUACAAGGAAAAUCCCAAAUACAAGUGCUAUAGGCAGAUACAUAGGUGGUCUCUAUACAUGGAUACAAAAAUCUCUCACUCUCUCGUCUACAAAAGAAAGAGUAAACCCCCUAGGCAAAGUACCGCUCCUCGCUAGCUAGCUAAGCGAUCCCCUUGCCGCGAUCCCGUGCCUCCGCCGGUGCCGAAGGCUCUGAAAAGUAAACCAUAAAACGGAGGCGUGAGAACUAUUAAAAAUAGUUCCCAGUGGGCAAUUACUGACUUCAGUGAAUGCACCACAAGGCCCAAAGCUUCAAAAGAUGUCAGGGACUAUAAAAGUAGAAAGGCAAAAGGUAAGUAAAAAUGUAACUUACUACGACAUGAUAUCUCUACUUAGCAUAAAUAGCAUAAGUAUGGAAGCAACUAUGUAUGAAGUAAAAGUCUCCAAUUAUCAUGACGUUCACAAUGUGGAAUAGUAAAGUUCCGCUGUUUACUAUUCUAGUCAAUGUCCGAGUAGUACACUAAGUCAUCAUCUGUCCAUAUGUCAUAAUGGAUAUAUAUAAAGUCAAAUCUGAAGAGACCCACCCGAAGGCUGUCUAUGGCCCUGAGACCCACCCGUAGGCUGUCUGGCCGGUGCCGAGCCUAAUGGCCCCGUGGUAGUCAUCAUCCCCACCCUAGGAAUGAGCCUGUCCCACGGCAAUCCACUUCGGCGCCCAAUCCCGCACGGCGAAUAUGAAUCGCGAUGGCCAUCUCCGGAGUGCCGGCUUGUAGGGAGCGACCCUCACAAGCAUGUGCGAAUGAGCACAAUGGCAAGUAAUCAAACGAUCUGUCGCAAGAACCAAGUCCUCAUGUCUAAUAACAUGGAAUGUGUCAAGUACCUCAAUGGCCUAUCCCUAUGUCAUCAUGUCUCUAACAUGGAAUAUAGCAGAUAUGUUGUGGCCUAUCAAUAUGUCUCUAUGUUGCAGUUUCAUAGUUUACUAGUUUCAAGUGCCCCUUUAUGACACUCUUAUUCUCUAUGUCAAAACAUGGCAACUAUGUUCCAAAGUACAUAUUCCAAGUCAUAAUCCUCAUAAGAGAUGUAUUUUUUUUUUUACUUGCAAAAUAAACACUUUUCCCGUAUGCAUGCAUUCUACUCAUAUAGCUCUACUAUAUAGUGAAAUUUUCAUCAAUACACAAGACAUGCAUUUUAAGUGCUCUAAAAUUCAUUUAAAUUCCAUUUAGCAUAGAAAUGAAUUUAAAAAUAUUUUACAACAAGUAGAAAGAGCAUAGGGGCCAUUUCGCCCCAAUUCCACGAAGCCAAACCCACCGAUGACAACGAAACUCCUCGCGCGCUCCCACGAGGAUGUCCUCAAGUCUCCUAGUACCCUAAAGGUAUAGAAACAUGUGUCAUCUAACCGGAAUGAACGACACUAAGCUCAAUCUUUAAGCUUCUCAAGCUAGGGUUAGGAAAAACUCACCGAUUGCGAAGGAAGCUCUCUCGAUCUCCAAACGGGAGUUAGAGUCCUUCCAAUCUAACCUAAACAAAGGUUCUAAACCCAUCAAUUUGAUACAAAAGCCCUCAAAAUGAAAAUCCCCAAAUCUAACCCUAAAAUGCCAAAUCUAGGGUUUGAUCUAGUAAAAUCCAACAAAAUCCGAAUCUAGAGGAGAGAAAUUGCUACUAACCUUUUAGAAGCUCCAAACCAAGCUCCAAAGUCCUCUAGGGUUGAAGGUUGAUCCUCAAACAAGCUCCAACCAAGAUCUCACACUUCUCCAAUGGUGGAAAACCCACAAAAAGCAAGAAGGAGAAGAGAAAAGAGAUCAAAACUAGCAAAAACCCAACAAAAAUGAAGAAGAAACCAAAGGGGAGUUCUCACCUUAUCUUCUCUGUUCUAGGGCUCAAAAGAGCAGCCAUGAGGGCUGGGGUGACUUAUAUAGGCGUUGCAACAAUUGCAAAAACACCCCUCUACGAAACAGUCAAAAUCUGCACUGCGUACCGGUACACGGGUUUGUGUACCGGUACACUGCCCACGAAAUGCCAAACCCGAGCCUCGGGUUCACUGGGAAAUGCUCUGUGUACCGGUACACAACCACGUACCGGUACAGCCAUCAACCCCGUACCGGUACAGCAAGCGAACCCGUACCGGUACACGGCCUGCUGAAGGCCACCCGAGAGCUGACCAAAAAUCCAACUUUUUGGAUUUUGGUACACAGCUUUAAACCACAAUUCUCGGGACUCGAACCAUAGGUCGGAACACUGUCAACGACCUACCAGAAAGUCUGGAAAAGCUCGACACACAAAUCAAACACUCGAACCUCGCAAUUUGCAAAGGUCCAGUGUGUUACAGCCUACCAAUACAACUAUAUACAUCAAUGUGAAUUUGUAUGUUUCUUAGACAUAAAGGGCGACCUAGUCGCUUCGGUAAGCACAACCCACCUCAAAUCGCUUUCCGAUAGCUUGUCGACACUUGCAAUCGGCCUCCAGCGGCACCCGUGUCCGGUUCAGCCCGAUUUUGCUAAUACUCACCAACCGUGCGUCGAAUCGUGGCUCCGAAAAUUAUAGGUCUUCGAUUAUGUUCCACGGUGCUUCAAAUCCAUUUUCAUGAUUUUACGAUGUCGCCUCGGCCCUCCAGGCGGAAACGAAGCCUAACGUCCGUUUCUUUAAUAACUUCACAAUGGCUCGACGAAUCACCGAACCGACUUCGCCAACGCGUUCGUUUACCUAGUAAUUAGGUUUACGGAGGGUCAAAUUAGAUCAAACCCAUACGUUUUACAAAACCCCAAUUUUGAAGCCCUAGAUGCCAUUAUAGCUAAAUGCAUUAUUUAACUUCAUGAAUCAAACAAUAAACCUCUAAUUAGCAUCUAAGCAUUCUACUAAAUCCAUCUCUAGAGCAUAUAAAGCUAAUACUAGAGAUCCACCUCAAAGCUUGCUCCAAACCAUAGAGAAGAUGAAGAAGAUGAAGAUGAUUCACUUCCAAGCUUCAAUCUCCACCAAAUCCACCAAUUUUGGGAGAGAUUUAGAGAGAGAAUGGGAGGUUUCUCUCUCUCCCUCUCCAUGCGUGUGUGAGGGUGUGUGUGUGCGGGUUGUGGCUGCACGGUUGAGGGGAAGAAGGAGACAAGUGGCCAAAUUCACAAGAACCCCUUGCACCUAUUAGAAAUUACAUCUCCAGCUCAGUUUAGCAGUUCGGAGUUAUUGGAGCCCUUCUGAACGUCCGUUUGCGCUCAAAUUUGAUGGACAGGCUCGGUUUAAUGUACUGAGUAAGAAUAUAUCUUAAGUUUUUAGUUUCGACCCCGUUUGGUCACCGAAAUCUCUACCGAACUGUAAUCUUUAUCAGAUAGCUGUUGGAUUUUAUUUUCCACUUUUCGGGUGUCAGAAUGGCAUGAAACUUUAAAUUUAGCCUCAUAAAAAUAAUUCUGACAUAUCCUCCAGUUUUCAUAAUUUUCUGACACAGUGCAUUUUCUGCUAAUUUAUCUACCCCGUUUCUCACAGAAAAUUCUAAAUCUUCUAUUUUCACUCCGAUUUCAGCACAGGUCAUUCUCAACCUAUAUUUCACCUCUCUAAAUCCAAUAAAAAUAGUAUCUCAUACUAUUUUUAUUUAUUUUCGUUUUUAUAUUUAAAAUUCGGUAUAUUAUAUUCCACCGCAACCUCACCGGAACCAUUCAAAUGGCCUUCCAAUCGAAUGUACACCGUAACUUAAUAGUUUUAGAAGUCCGGUACCUUACAAUUAAUCUCUCCAAAAAUUCAUCAUCUACUGUAUCGUGAGCAAUAUAUUCAUUCGCUACCAUAGGGCAUCGAAUACUGAAUUUAAGACGAAAUUCUUCUCUAUUACAAUUUACUAAACGAUACAUUCUCGCAUCAAAAUUAGUAUAUGUCGUAUCUGAACGAAUCGCAAUCAAUUUCUUCUGACCGCCGACAUAUCGGGGACCAUUUCCAUCCGUAGUUAACUGUCAAUCCCAAUGAACACUAAGAGACAUCCGACGAUUAGCCAUUUUCACUACACAAAAAAAACUUUCAAAUCUACUCUCAAAAUAUUUAGUAAAUAUAAUACAAAAGUUUAAACCUAAACUAGGCUAAUGCCUAGUUUAAAGUAGGUUUAAACCUAGUUUAAACCUAGUUUAAAACAAGUUUAAACUACAAGCCCGUCUCAUUAAAAAGUUUAAAUAUAACGUACCGAAACUCGGUAGAAAAUAUCGAAUUUUGGGCAAAUAGGCUCAAGUGUGCGAAAGAAAUAGUUGGACAAAUCCCAUUUAACUUUUCAACAAGGUUAGAAGAGUUAAAAGUGAGUUAGGAAGAGUUAAAAGGGUCUUGGCAUUGCUCGGUGCAGAAGAGAAGUCGAACAAGAACUAAAACCCAAGUCUGGGCAUUGUGUACCGGUACAACAUUGAUGUUGUACCGGUACAACACUGCAAACCGAGAGAAAUUGCUCUCGGGUUUGCCUCCGUGAAGUCGUGUUACUGGUGACACCCUUGGUGUGUACCGGUACACUUUUGCAAAACCCGAACAACUGCUCUCGGGUUUGCCUCUGCGAGAUCGUGUAACCGGUGACAGCCCACCUUGUACCGGUACACAUUGGACCUGACAGCAGGUUGAAGUUUACUGCAAAUAGAAAAAAGUGGAGAGCCUUUUUGCUAUUGUAGCNCAUGGGCCUAGCUUCGACAGAAGGCUCACAACACAAUCACUUAGAAAUUUUCGAUCUCAAUGUUUCCCUAGCAUUGGAUGUUCCAGGUGUACAAGGCCCCCAAACUCAAUUCUCGCGAUAGAGGUGGAUCAAUCCACCGUUCAACGACAACUCUCUAUCAAAGUCAUCCUGAUGCGAUCGUCAAACCAAAGUCAAUUCCAUCAGUCCUCAUAUAAGGUUCUAUCCUGAAGGACUCAAUUCCUUGUACACGCUCCUGACACGGGGAAUUCGUAACUUGGUACCUUCCCUCUCACGAGCUUUCCGUCCAUUUGUGAGAGUUCCACAACUCGAUCACUUCAAUCCUGCAAACGCAGUCCAACCUCGCACAUCCUAUUAAAAUACCCCAAGUCAUCCGCAACGGUUCCACAAAUCCACCCAGAGGCUGGGAUUAUCAUUCCGCGAACCCUUCCACAGGUAGAGUAUUAUAGGCUUAGGCAGCAUCAUCCUCGUGAUGUCCACACCUAGCAUCACAACCCAUUUGAGGUACGACCUCAAACUCCAACAUCAACAGCAUUACUCAGAUUACUCACAAUCUUACAAGUACACCAACAACUCAAGGCCAUCUGACAAGGUCAAUGGGCCUCAGCAACGGUCUAAGCCUCCAAUCGUGGUUCAAUUUGAAUCACGAGAGUCGACAUACAGUCGGAACGGCCCAACCGGUCCCACAACAGGUGAGAGUGCUCCUCCACGAGGCAAAACACCAACUAUAAAAUCUCCCUGUCAAAUGAGCUAACGAUUGGUGACUCGAUCGGGGACAUAACGACCGAUCAAGGACAUCCUUUAUUUCAAGGAUUCUUGAUCACCCAAAGCUAAUGGCCACUCAGGCCCCAAACCCUCUCCAACACUUACCCUAUUUUAGGUAAGAGAGACUAUCAACGCAUAUAGCAGAAGUAAAUCCUCAAAUCGCACUAUUUCGUGCACACAGUCCUCAAGGCGAGUCAAGUCAGCUCGCAAACCAAGGGUACCAGGUACCCACAACAACUCCACACCAAGGAAGGCCAAUCUAUUUGUUGGCACACAGAACCAUCUCACGGGGUAGAGCGUUCAAAACGACACACCCGAUCAACCGAUCAUCCACACGCGCCAAAGGCUCAACGCUAACAAAUCCUCGGGUUGGGUAACUACACACUCAGCGUGUCCUCGAUCGCACGAUCCAACACGUGGCUGUCACGCCCCGGGACCCAGCGGAAGCCCGCCCGGCGCGUGCCCAGACCCGCCAUAUGUCUACAACAUAUAAGGCGUCUGGGAACAACAAUAAUAAAAGCAAUAAUAAAAGACAUCUAGGAGUAUCAGAGCAUAGUAAAUGUCUAAUUGCUACAACAAAGGAUAAGGAUAAAACUGUAAAUCCACCAAAUGAAACAUAGAGUAAGAACAAUAGGAAAUCCCAAAUACAAGAGUUAAAAGUAGGUACAUAGGUGGUCUCUAUACAUGGAUACAAAAUCUCUCACUCUCUCUCAACUACAAAAAGAAAGAGUAAACCACCUAGGCAAAGUACCGCUCCUCGCUAGCUAGCUAAGCGAUCCCCUUGCCGCGAUCCCGUGCCUCCGCCGGUGCCGAAGGCUCUGAAAAGUAAACCACAAAACGGGGGCAUGAGAACUAUUAAAAUAGUUCCCAGUGGGCAAUUACUGACUUCAGUGAAUGCACCACAAGGCCCAAAGCUACAGAAGAUGUCAGUGACUAUAAAAGUAGAAAGGUGGCAGGUAAGUAAAAAUGUAACCCACUACGACAUGAUAUCUCUACUUAGCAUGAAUAGUAAAAGUAUGAAAGCAACUAUGCGUGAAGUAAAGUCUCCAACUAUCAUAAUGUUCACAAAGCGAAAUAGUAAAGUUCCGUUGUUUACUAUUCUGGUCAAUGUCCAAAUAAUACUCUAAGUCAUCAUCUAUCCACAUGUCAUGAUGAAUACUCAAGUCAAAUCUGAAGAGACCCACCCGAAGGCUGUCUAUGGCCCUGAGACCCACCCGGUAAGAGUAGGAUUAGGCCACUAAUUUGGUGAUAAAUUCUAUGUCAAUAGAAGCAAUGCAUGACAUAAGACAGAAGGGCCCAUUGAGAAACUGACAAUUAAUGUAAUAAUAAUAGAGAUAGAGAUAGACGUAUAUGAACUACUGCAAUUGUGAUACUAUGCAAACAUAGCUAGUAGAAAGGUGUCAAAAAUACAGCGGCACUCGGAGAUGGCCAUCUGCGAUACAUCAGAGUGCGGGAUUGGGCGCGAAGUGGAUUGCGUUGGGACAGCUCAUCCCUAAGGGUGGGGAUAUGAUACCCGGUCCAUUAGGCUCGGCACCCCGGCAGAAGCCUACNNNNNNNNNNNNNNNNNNNNNNNNNNNNNNNNNNNNNNNNNNNNNNNNNNNNNNNNNNNNNNNNNNNNNNNNNNNNNNNNNNNNNNNNNNNNNNNNNNNNGAACACUGUCAACGACCCACCAGAAAAUCUGGAAUUGCUCAGCACACAGCUCGAACACUCGAACCUCGCAAUUUGCAAAGGUCCAGUGUGUUACACUAACUCCGGAGUGCCGGCUUGUUGGGAGCGACCCUCACAAGCAUGUGCGAAUGAGCACAAAUGGCAAACAAGCAUAAUCAAAAGCUCAAGAAUCCGAUCCUCAUGUCUCAAACAUGGAAAGCUACUAGUAACCCAACGGUCUAGCUCUAUGUUACAACGUGAUAUCCCAAUACUCACUUGCUUAGUGCCUCUUUAUGACACUUAAGCACCACAACUAAUCAAGCCCAAAUCAUGUUCUAUGUCCCCAAUUAAGACAUUAAUACCAAUGCUCACUAUGGCCCGAGCCCAAUGCCUCUUUAUGACAUUGGCCCAAAUUCUCAAAUAGUUUAAGUCCCUAAGCCUCUCUAGGCUUCCAAAGUCCCUAAUGUCACAAUUGGGCAUAAAGGUUAAAUGCAUGAUAGCAAUGUUUAUUUUCAUGAUAGGAAUUAUGGUUCCAAAUCUCAACCAGAAUGCUAUGUCUCACAUGCAUGCACUCUACCACAUAGAGGUCCAAAAAUUUACUAUACAUUACAUAUGCAUGUUAAUCAUUCUAAAAUUCAUAAUAAAUAUAUCUAACAUGAUUAUGCAUGCUUUUUCAUUUAACGAUACUCAAAUCAUCACAAAUAAGAUUUUCUCAUUAUGUGGCUAGGUCAAACCCACCGAACCGUCGCGGAGUCCUUCGUUUCGCCGAACGGAGUUGUCCACGAGUCUCUAAGUACCCUAAAAGUAAGGAGCGAAGAGAUACACGAGCAUUACGAACAACUCUAUGCUCAAACAUUAACCAUCACAAGCAAAGGGGCAAAAACUCACCUAAGGAGUAGAAAAUCUCUCUCAAGCUCCAAAAGAAAGCUAGAACCCUUCCAAUCUAACCCAAAGGAAGAUUCUAAUCCAAAAAAUUGAGCCUCAAAAGCCCUAGAUCAAAAAGCCCCAAAAUCAACCCUAAAAUCCCAUUCUAGGGUUCCAUCUCCUAAAAACCUUCAAAUCAUGAAAUCUUGGAAAAAGAACAAGUUGCUUACCUCCUAGAAGCUUCAAUCUUGGUUCAAAACCCUCUAGGUUCCAAGAUCUCGCCUCAACUAUGCUCCAAAUCCAAGCUCCAAGCCACCAAAAGGAGGAAGAGAGGGUAUGGGUGAAGUUCCAAGCCUCCAACAAGCUCUCUCCUCCAUCUUCUUCCUCUCCUUCUUCUUCUUCUCUCUCUAGGAGCAAAUGAAAUGGUGGAAUGAGGGAGGAGAGAAGAAGAAGUUGUAAGAAAAUCAUGUGUACGCAGCGGAAGAAAAUAACACAAUUAAAAGUUUUCUUGAAAACCAAAGAUCACCUCGUGUUUCAUUUUAGAUCAUUAAUAAUAGAUCUAAUUGAUCUAAUCAAAUAGGAUCUAUAUUAUUUUAUUUUACCUAGCGCGGGUCGAGGUCACCGCGAAGUCGAAAAUCGUUGGUAAAAAUUUCUUCGUCCUCGGUUAGCCACGCACGUACCCGGCCUCUACUCGCGUCCACACGAAAUCACGCCCUUGAUCGAAAUAGACGACAGCUUCAAUCCGUAAUCCGAUCACGAAUUAACCCUUGCGUCGACUUGAGGAAGAUGAAUCAAUCUUCUAGAUGUGCUAGCAACUUUUUGAAGAUCGAAACCGAUGGAUUAAUUGUGGAGGACUUAAGAAAGAAAAAGAAUUGACGGCUAGGGUUUUCUUUUUCUUUUUGCUUAAUUUUCCAUUCAUUUUAAUAUGUCAUAUGACAUAUAUUUAUAAUGAGAAAACCCUAACGUAAUCCUAAUCGAAAUCCUAUUCCGAUUAGAUUAUCCAUUAACCCACAAGUUGGUUAUGAUAUUAACCGAAUUCCGAAUCCUAAUUCUAAUUCGAUUCGUGUGUAACAUUUACACAUAAGUCCUCAUAUUAUUUACUAACGAUUAGUAAAUACACCAUGCAACUUUUACACAUAAAUACCUCUAAUUUACAACAAUUGCAAAUUAGUUCUUUUACUAAUAAAUUAGUAAACUUUAGUAUUUAACUAUAUUAUAAUUGUAAUUAAUCCAUCCGAUAAACUUCUUUUAUCAUAUCUUAAAUAUCGAUCAUGCGCGAUUUCUUAUGUGUGUGACCUAAUAGGUUCAAUUCUGUCUGGUAGUGGGAUAUGAUGAGAUCUCCAUCUACAUCAUCAUCGAAACUCUUUUCGAUGGCUCAAACUCUUUUGAUUCCACCCUAAUAGAAUAAUUAAUAAUUAUUUCUAUUGGUUCCCACAAUCCACCAGUGACGCCUAGCAGCAUGUAGUGGCAAUCCAGUCAAAAGUGAAUAUCGGACUGAACCUCUAGGUGCAGUUACCGUACAAUACAAUCCUUCUAUCGCAUAGUUCCAACUAAGUGGAGGUCAUGGAAUAUUCGUCAAACCCCAUCACCCGUCAUAUGACAAAUUUGAUCAGACAGAAGCUCUUAUGGUGACUCUUGGAAACAUCUUUCCAUACACCAUAUUACCCCGGCCGAGGAUUUCUGUGCUUUGCCGUACAAAUAGCAUAGAACUAAUUAUCUCUCUACCGAGAGCGAUAGAUCCCCUAUAAACACACACCCAUUCCUGAUAUGAACCGACUGCAGCCAACAUAUACUACUAAGACCCAUGGCUAGGAUCAGAGUUUGUUGCAUAGUCAAACUACAGUGGCCUCAUAUUGAAUGACCGUGGUGUCGCAGGUCUAAGGAUCAGUUGUACCACUGCAACAUCGAACCAGUUACUGACGAAUGAGUAGACAUCCAUGUAACUGUUCGUAGUUAGUCACGCUCAAUACCGUUGUUCUCCAACAACCGCCUGCAUGUUCGCUCCAGUGUCCCCACACUGAUGACUCGAGAUUCGUCAUCCCAAAAGGGAAGCGACACACACAUCAAUCUUACCGGAUCAAUCAUCGUCCCCAUGAUGAUCCUCCGAUUGUGAGCAUUUAUGAAUUAAUCACCAAUAAUAUGUAUCUCAAAUUCUCAACUCUUUAGAAUACAUAUUAUCAUCUUAUUAAUUCAAAGGACGAUUCAUGGACACAUUUAACAUGAAUGGAAUAAAAGGCCCAAUUAUAUAAAUAAUAAUGAUUAAGUACAAAAAUAUGUCCCAUAGAAAAUAAAAUGCGUCAGCUUGAUAGGCUUCUAGGGCAUACAACUAACAAUCUCCUACUUGCACUAAAGCCAAUCAGCCAUGUACCUAAUGCCCAUCUUCUCAAGAUGAGUCUCAAGUUUCUGCUGAGUCAAUGCCUUAGUUAGCGGGUCCGCCACGUUAUCCUCGGAGGCAACCUUCUGUAUUUCAAUAUGUUUAUCCUUGAUGUACUCUCUGAUCUUGUGAUACCGCCGCUCAAUGUGCUUGGAUUUCUGAUGAGACCUUGGCUCUUUUGCUAAUGCUACGACGCCAUUAUUAUCACAAUAUAGUGGCAAGGGAUCCUUACUGGAAGGAACCACGCCAAGCUCAGCGACAAAUUUCUUGAUCCAAACAGCUUCCUUGGCAGCUUCAGAUGCAGCGAUGUACUCCGCUUCUGUAAUAUACCAGAUUUUGGUAUAAAAAUAAAAAUAAAUAAAAAUAGUGUGGGAUACUAUUUUUAUUGGAUUUAGAGAAGUAAAAUAUAAGUCAGAAUUGAUUUGUGCUGAAAUCGGAAUGAAAACAGAAGAUUUAGAAUUUUCUGUUGGAAACGAGACAGAUAAAUUAGCAGAAAAUGCACAGUCUCAGAAAAUUAUGAAAAUUGGAGAAUAAGUCAGAAAUAUUUUUAUGAGGCUAGAUUUAAAGUUUCAUAUUUUUUUGACACCCGAAAGUUGGGAAAUAAAAUCCGAAAGCUAUCUGAUAAAGAUUACAGUUCGGUACAGUUUUCGGUGACCAAACGGGGUCGAAACUGAAAACUUAAGAUAUAUUCUUACUCAGUACGUAAAACUGAAUAUGACUGUCAAGUUUGAGCUCAAACGGACAUUCAGAGAGCUCCGGCGAAAGAUAUCAGAUUUUAAGUUGCCUGGAGUGAAUAGUGUUUGGUGUUGACUUUAAUAAGAAGCUAUUUAGCUUCUUCUCCUCCAUCAGCCGACCACCAUGGCCGACACCCCUCUCACGCAUGCAUGGAGGGAGAGAGAGAGACCUUUAUUUCUCUCUCUAAAUAUCUCUCUCAUCUCUCUAUAUCUCUCUCUAAAAAUUGGAGGGUUGGUGGAGAUCGAGUCUGCGAACGUGUUGGAGGCAACGGAUCGAGCUUUCGUGCGCCCGUUGGAGCGGCGUGUUUUCGUUGCGGCGUUCACAUUGCGGUAAGCUUUUGGGAUUUGGUUUAAUCCUUAGCUUUAAGUGCACUAAUAGCCUCUAAUGAGCAUUGAUAGUAUGUUGUUCCAUUUAAUUGGAAUUAUUUGGAGGUUAAUUCAUAUUAGGGCUCAAAAAUGCUAAUUUUGAAAAUAUGAGGGUUUGAUCUAAUUUGACCCUCCUUAAACCAAAUUGCUAGGUAAACGAACCCGUUGGCGAAGACGGUUCGGCAAUCCGACGAGCCGUUACAAAGUUGUUAAAGAAACGGACGUUUAGGCUUCGUUACCGCCUGGAGGGCCGAGGCGACGUCGUAAAAUCAUGGAAAUGGAUUUGAAGCACCGUGGCACAUAACCGAAGACCUUUAAUUUUCAGAUCGUGGAUCGGAGGCCGUUCGGGUGGUCGCGCAAAAGAUCGGGCCAAACCGGAUUACGGGUGCGACGGGAGGCCGAUUGCAAGUGUCGACAAGCAAUCGGAAAGCGUUUUGAGGUGGGUCGUGCUCACUGAAGCGAUUAGGUCGCUUUCCAUGCUAAAGUAUAGUAUGUUUACUAUUGAUGCAUGAUAAAGUAUGCUAUUUAAGAAUGCAUGAUAAAGAUUAAAGUAUGCUAUUUAAGAAUGCAUGAUAAAGAUUAAAGUAUGCUAUUUAAGAAUGCAUGAUAAAGAUAGAUGUCAAAUGAAUGCAUGAGUUGAUGUUAAUUUACAUGAGCAUAUUAUAGAAAUGUUAAACAGAUGUCAAAUGAAAGUAUGAGAUUUAUUCUAACCGAGAAUGCAUGUGGUAAAUGUUAACGAAUGCAUAAAAUGCUAAGUAAUGACUACCAAUGGAUGACAAAAUAUAUGCAUGUUGAACAUAGAUCGAGUGGCAUUUGGAAAUGGUAAAGUGGACACUAGAGUUAGUGUGGGACAUCAAAGAAUAAAUGUGAUGUAAAGAAUAAUGAUAAUGGCUAAAGAUAAUGUAAAACAAUGUGAUGAUAAUAAUGUAAUGUUGCAUGAUGUGAGUACACGUGCUUAUUAGAAUGAUUAAGAAUCUAAAUAAUCUAUGUGUAUGCAUGAGAUGUAAUGUGAGAACCUAAUGAUAAUGGUUUGAGACAAGGCAAAGCAAUGUGAUGUAAAGAAUAAUGAUAAUGGCUAAAGGCGAUGUAAAGUAAUGUGGCAUAAAGAGCAAGCAAAGUGUAAAGAACAAUGAUAAUGGCUAGAGUUAGCAACCAAUGUGACAUAAAGAACACUAGAGUUAGUGUGUGGCAAUAAAAGAACAAGUGUGAUAUCAAGAAUGACAAUUACUAAAGUAAUUGAUAAUUGUGGUAUAAAGAAUAAUGAUUGCUAGAGUUAGCAACUAAUGUGAUGUAAAGAACACUAGAGUUAGUGUAAAACCAUGAUCCAACUACAUAUCCUUAGAGUUAAGGAUUGAUCAUACUUGCUAUGAGUUCCGUGCUCGAGGGCGGUCGCUCCCCCUCGAGCGAUGCGCUCCGGAGUUUGGCAUCCGGGUUGGAGUAGACCCGUAAGGACGGUCCUAGCUGGUGAGUUCCUGCGAUGAUGGACUUAAUGUGAAGCAAGUUAAUGUGGCGAAACCCCCGGGUUAGCCGUGAGAUUAAAGAACAAAGAACAAAAAGGAAUCAUGAAUUGGAAAGUGGAUCUUGUAUUCAUUAUGAAUUGACUCAAGACGGAGUCGAGUGGCAUAGUUGGCUAAAGUAAAGGUGACAAUUGAGAAAGAAUGACAAUUGAGAAACGUUUGUUAAUGUUAUAAAGAAUGGCAAAAGUGUAUAAUGCGCCUAAGGUGCGAGUGCCCUUAAUAAAGAAUAAAGAAUAAAGAAUAAAGAAUAAAGAAUAAAGAAUAAAGAGUAAAGAAUGGCUAAUGAUAAAGAAUAGCAAAUUCUAAAGAAAGUCUAAUGGUAAAGAAUAACUAAGAGUUGCAUAAUUUGCAUAUUUGUGAGGCAUGAACAUGUAUUGCAUGAUGUUAUAUGUAUAUAUAUCUGUUGGACUAACAUGUUGCAGUGCCUCCUUUGGACCUGGUGGGUUGAGCUUUUCACUUGGGUGGCUGUACCCACUGACGACUAUGGACAAUAGUCUCACCCCCGUGUUGUUGUUUUUGGGGGUACAGGUUCACACGCGAGCGGCGCGGCGGCGCGAGGAAAGGGCGUAGCUCCGUAGUUAGCGCCCUACCACAGAGACCAGAUAGCAGCACCCUGAGUCGGCUUCUUAGGGGUAUAAGAAAAGAAAAGAAAAGAAUUGAUGUUGUAAUAUUAUGUUUAGAAAUCGAUUGUAUAUUUGGAAGUUGAGAAUCAAUGUAAUGAAAAAUGCGAUGUAAAAUGAUGAGAUGAAUGAUUGUAAUAACAUAGGAUGUGUUAUGUUGUUUGAUACCUUCCUUAUGCAAUCGUUGUUGAAAAAUUGUUCCUGUUUGGAACCUCUUGUACUUGGAUUGAUUGCGACGCCUUGAACGUACAGGGGAGACUCUGUCCGCGUGUAGGGAAAACCCUGUCCGUUCGGCGGUCUGUUGGCGUGCCCGAAUCCGACCAAAGAGGCGGGCUCGGGGCGUGACAGAUAAGAUGGUAUCAGAGCAUAAAGUAGAGAAUGGGAAAGUGGUUUAGAUGAACCUAGGAGACCCUAGGAUAGUAAACCAUAGGAGAUUAAGGCUCGUGAGAGACGAGGACUUGUGGCUUUGGCGAAAGGUUAAGGGAUUGGGUUGUGUUGUAAACCUCUAAAAAGGAGAUUAGAGGUGGAUUCAAGGUGUGGUCUACUCUCAACCGAGGGUGUUCAUGUUGGACGCGUACAACAUGAAACCGAGUGAUGAGAAUAGAUGACCUUGUAUGACUUUCGCCUGAUUUGAGUUGAUGUCAGUUGUCUCGUACUCGACCUAGAAGGUUGAGAGUUAGUUGAGUUGUUAUGUUCUAGGUAACGAUGGCACUGCGUAGGCGAUCUUCGUUUAGAUCGACGCGGGGUGGGACAAGUGAUGUCCCAGAGCAAUCCAAGGCGAGCGGAGAUUUGGAACUUCGCGAACAGUUGGCCACACUUGUGGGUGUGGUGAGGCAACGAGCAGAUGUGGUGCAGCGGCAGCAGGAGGCUGUUAUGCACCAGGAGGAGCGAAUUAAGAGACUCCUGAAAAGUUGUAGGUGUAAUAUACCGAAACUUCGGUAAGCGAACAUCGAACCUUGGUCAAAUUAACCAAAGAGCGAGGUUGGUACACUUCGGAAAGGCCGAAGGCAUCAAAUAAUGCAAAAGUGCGUUACUGGGGAUCUUCGAGAGCUUUGGGAAUCAAAAUCUGCAAAUUGCAGGUUUUCUGCUCUCGGGGACCGGUCUCUGGUGGGAGAGACCGGUCCCCGCACGCGCAGACAGCGAAAGGGAGGAAAAAAAAAAAAAGGCUAAGUCCCCGGUGGACAGCUCUCGGGAACCGGUCCCUGCAGGGAGAGACCGGUCCCGAAGAGACCGGUCCCAUCGGGGGAGACCGGAUGCAUCGUGCGUGAGCCCUGCUGACCGCGGGGAGAGCUCUCGGAGACCGGUCCCUCGUCGGGGAGACCGGUCCCCGAACCUGAGAGUGGCCCAGUCAGGGCAGUGUAAAAGAGUAAAAGUUGAGAGGCUUGUUUGCACUUAUGCAACAUGUGGGGCUAUGUGAGGAGUAUGAGAGCUCUUUUCUCUCAUUUCUCAUCCACACACCCUCUCAUAUCUCUCUUUCUCUCUCUCUAGAAGACAAGAAGAGGAAGAAGAAAGGAAGGAAAAAGAAAGAGAAAGAGCGGGCUUUGGCAGCCCUCAUGACCUUCAUAAAGUUUGAUCCACCUACCUUCGAUGGAGAGAAUGUCGAUUCGUGGAUUGUGGAUACGUGGAUUGACUCCGUGGAAACGCUCUUCGAGGAGCUGUCUACCUUGGAGCGGGACAAGGUACCCCUAGCCGUGUAUUGUUUGAAACAGUCGGCUAAGGCGUGGUGGAAAGGCAUUCGACGGAACCGAUCGCCUAGUAUUCCUCCAUGGCAUGGGAUGAGUUUUGGGGAUUGGUAUCUUCUACUUACUUCCCCCGACAGUGAAAAGAGAAAGCUUCAGGACAAGUUCAGGAAGCUGCGGCAAGGAGACCGCUCAGUUAGAGAAUACGAACGGGAAUUCUCCCUAUCAUGAACUGUAUCCGAGAUAUGGAGCCUGCUGCUGACGACGUCAUGGCGGGUAUGAGCUGUUAAUGCAGUUAUGUGUUUCUGCAUAAUGUAGAGUUGGUGCAUUGCAUGCAUUGAGCAUGUAAUUAAUUACUACUAUUUAUGUAGUAGCAUAGUAGGGUCCAAGUGAGCGGGUAAAUGUAAACACCCGGGCACGCUUAUGUGGUGAAAGCGUUGCACCUGCCGGUGCAGGUAGAGAACUGGAUGGUACUAGCGAGUUGCUAGUGGUGGUCUAAUGAUGAGACUUGUAGUAGAGGUGGAAAUGACGAACCAACUCGCAGAGCAAUCUAUGUAAUUGAUUGCGAGAGUUGUGUCAUGACACUUGUGGACACUCGAAUGGUUUGAGUGUUCUAGAUGUUGCUCCGGUAGAGCGAUUGGCUGCCAAAUACGGGCGCGUUGGCCUAGUAGUACCUCGAAUUGAGGUGGGUGAGUCGUGCUCGUGUGGCCGGUGUGCAUAGGCAAGAGUUGCCUAAUGCUGGACAUAGUGUGGAGCGCUUUAGAGGCGUGCGAUACACGAGUAUAGUUACUCGUGGAGUGCGGAUUUAGUUCAGCCGGAUGAGUGUGUUGGCAGUAGCACCUGAGCAUUGCUAGGUGUGAAGCGUGCCACGGAUCACUCGUGGGGCUGGUGGCUCGCACUAGGUGCAUAGGAGCCGAUAGUGGUACGUAUUGUGCUAUAGAGCGUGUAGUGCGAUUGAUAGUAUACUGAGAGUGCGAGUGUGACCCAACCCGGGAAUCUGUAACGGUUUGGGAUCUUAGUUGCUCCUGGUUGGAGUGUGUGCGAAUUCCCAAGUGAGAAUUUCGCCCCAAUGAUGAUUGGGUCUGCAUUGCGAGCGAGAGACGCUGCGUAUUGAGAAAGGUUUAGGUGGUAGGCCUACAUAGUAUUGGUGGCCUUUGGACCACCAGUGGAAACCGAGGAAAGCGAUUUGGCGGAUAGACUUAUCGAGAGGUUUGACUCGAAUUCACGAACAAAGUGUUCUUGUGAGCUCUUUGCAGAAAUGGUUUGACGUUGACCAUGGCAUAUGGUAUUGAAAAAUGAAGUGCUCUUGGAGAGACCUUGAGCUUAUGGCAAGCCACGUGGAAUUUGAGAACUGGAAGUGGGGAUGUGCCGAAGUGGGCCAUCUCACUUAGAGCAAAAAGUCGGGGCGGAAUUAGAGCACUCGCGGUGAAGCGAUGCACUAGUGAUGUUGCUUUUAAGCAAUGUUGGAGAUAGAAUCGGAGUGUAUUCCCUGAGGGGAAAGUAAAUGCGAAGAAGAGUUCUUGUAUGCCAAAUGACAAGUGGUAUUGGACCGCGUGAAGUCGUUGAGUUUCGACUUGCGCCGCCACCAAGAGUGAUGGAUACCCUAAUGCACUUUGUGAGAUGCGCCUUGCAAAUUUGGAUGCAUUUAGUAUCAUGAACUCCGUGGUAGUCCUCUUGGAUAGUUCCAAGGAGUGUGAAGCCAUUCCGAAGUGGAAAGCGUAUUGGUGCUCUCAAUUACUCGAGGAGCUGAAUCGAGUUGUGGUUUGAAUUUCGCGGACGAAAUUCUUUUAAGGGGUGGAGAAUGUAAUAUACCGAACUUCUAAAUUCACGAAGUUACGAUGUAAGUUAGCUUAGAAAGCCAUUGGAAUCGUCCCGGCGAAGUUCGGGAGCAUUCGGGUGCUUCGGUGCGCAUAGGGCGCGAAAACGGAGCCGAAAGGCUAUGUUGGACCGUGAGUUAAAUCCGGCAUUAGCGUGGAUGAAAAGAUGAUGAAAACAUGUUCGAAAACAUAUUUGGAGAGUCUCGGUUCGAUUUGAAAUGAAUCAGAGGUCAAACGAGCGAAAACGAGCGAAAACGGAGCUAAAAUGGUGAAAAAGCUGAAAAUUUGGCUAAGUCCUUGAAGGCUGAUUUCUGGACCUUCGGGGACCGGUCUCUCAGUCAAGGACCGGUCUCUCAGGGACCGGUCUCUCAUCGCAAGGACCGGUCCCCGAAGCCCGAAAAUGCCCAGUUCGGGCUGUUGUGAGAAAUGCAUUGUUGAGGGUGUUUUCAGCAAUUUUGCACUAAUAGAGGCUAUUAGAUGGUGGAAUGAGAUCUUUCUCUCAUUUCUCUCACUCUCCCACACCAAAACCUCUCCCUCUCUCUCUCUAGAAAGAAAAGAAGGAGAAGAAGAGGGGAAAGAAAGGGAAGAAGAAGAUGAAGGAGAAGAGGCCAAGAAGAUAGAGUUUCAUCUUCAUCUCCUUCCUUGAGCCAUAGGAGCAAGCUUAGAGAGGUAAGCCUUAUGCUCUCUAAUGGUAGACUUCUAGAACUUGGUUUAUAUGUUCUAGAAUUGGAUUUUAUGUACUCCUAGCAUGUCAAAUAGAUGAUAAAUGCUUGGAUCAUGAGAUGAAAUGGUAGAUUUUGCAAUAGUUGCAUAUUAGGGCUCCAAAAAGGGGGUUUUUGUAGAUAGUUGAGUUUGAUCUCAAUUGACCCUCUAUAAACCUAAUUGGGGGUAUAACGAACGCGUUGGUGCGCUCGGUUCGACAAUCCGACGAGUGUACGCAAAGUUAUUGACGAAACAAUCUGUUUUGGUACAGAUAACUGCAGCACGCGGGAUAAGCCUCCAAAAAUCAUGAGAAUGGAUCGGGAGCAUCGUGGUGUCGGGGAAUAAACUCCCGAACAGACGGAUCGCGAAUUGGUGGCCGUUCGGGUGGUCGCACAAGAGUUCGGGCCAGACCGGGUUACGGAUGCCGCGGGAGGCCGAUUGCAAGUGUCGACAAGCAAUCGGAAAGCGUUUUGAGGUGGGUUGUGCUCACCGAAGCGAUUAGGUCGCUUUCCAUGCCAAAGUGUAGUAUGUUUACUAUUGAUGCAUGAUAAAGUAUGCUAUUUGAGAAUGCAUGAUAAAGUAUGCUAUUUAAGAAUGCAUGAUAAAGAUAGAUGCCAAAUGAAUGCAUGAGUUGAUGUUAAUUUACAUGUGCAUAUUAUAGAAAUGCUAAAUAGAUGUCAAAUGAAAGUAUGAGAUUUAUACUAACCGAGAAUGCAUGUAGUAAAUGUUAACGAAUGCAUAAAAUGCUAAGUAAUGACUACCAAUGGAUGACAAAAUAUAUGCAUGUUGAACAUAGAUCGAGUGGCAUUUGGAAAUGGUAAAGUGGACACUAGAGUUAGUGUGGGACAUCAAAGAAUAAAUGUGAUGUAAAGAAUAAUGAUAAUGGCUAAAGAUAAUGUAAAACAAUGUGAUGAUAAUAAUGUAAUGUUGCAUGAUGUGAGUACACGUGCUUAUUAGAAUGACUAAGAAUCUAAAUAAUCUAUAUGUAUGCAUGAGAUGUAAUGUGAGAACCUAAUGAUAAUGGCUUGAGACAAGGCAAAGCAAUGUGAUGUAAAGAAUAAUGAUAAUGGCUAGAGGCGAUGUAAAGUAAUGUGGCAUAAAGAACAAGCAAAGUGUAAAGAACAAUGAUAAUGGCUAGAGUUAGCAACCAAUGUGACAUAAAGAACACUAGAGUUAGUGUGUGGCAAUAAAAGAACAAGUGUGAUAUCAAGAAUGACAAUUACUAAAGUAAUUGAUAAUUGUGGUAUAAAGAAUAAUGAUUGCUAGAGUUAGCAACUAAUGUGAUGUAAAGAACACUAGAGUUAGUGUAAAACCAUGAUCCAACUACAUAUCCUUAGAGUUAAGGAUUGAUCAUACUUGCUAUGAGUUCCGUGCUCGAGGGCGGUCGCUCCCCCUCGGGCGAUGCGCUCCGGAGUUUGGCAUCCGGGUUGGAGUAGACCCGUAAGGACGGUCCUAGCUGGUGAGUUCCUGUGAUGAUGGACUUAAUGUGAAGCAAGUUAAUGUGGCGAAACCCCCGGGUUAGCCGUGAGAUUAAAGAACAAAGAACAAAAAAGGAAUCAUGAAUUGGAAAGUGGAUCUUAUAUUCAUUAUAAAUUGACUCAAGACCGAGUCGAGUGGCAUAGUUGGCCAGGGUAAAGGUAACCCUGUGAAAGAAUGACAAUUGAGAAAGAAUGACAAUUGAGAAACGUUUGUUAAUGUUAUAAAGAAUGGCAAAUGUGUAUAAUGCGCCUAAGGUGCGAGUGCCCUUAGCAAAGAAUAAAGAAUAAAGAAUAAAGAAUAAAGAAUAGAGAAUGGCUAAUGAUAAAGAAUUGCAUAUUCUAAAGAAAGGCUAAUGGUAAAGAAUGACUAAGAGUUGCAUAAUUUGCAUAUUUGUGAGGCAUGAACAUGUAUUGCAUGAUGUUAUAUGUAUAUAUCUGUUGGACUAACAUGUUGCUGUGCCUCCUUUGGACCUGGUGGGUUGAGCUCUUCCCUUGGGUGGCUGUACCCACUGACGACUAUGGACAAUAGUCUCACCCCCGUGUUGUUGUUUUUGGGGGUACAGGUUCACACGCGAGCGGCGCGGCGGCGCGAGGAAAGGGCGUAGCUCCGUAGUUAGCGCCCUACCACAGAGACCAGAUAGCAGCACCCUGAGUCGGCUUCUUAGGGGUAUAAGAAAAGAAAAGAAAAGAAUCGAUGUUGUAAUAUUAUGUUUGGAAAUCGAUUGUAUAUUUUGAAGUUGAUGAUCAAUGUAAUGAAAAAUGCGAUGUAAAAUGAUGAGAUGAAUGAUUGUAAUAACAUAGGAUGUGUUAUGUUGUUUGAUACCUUCCUUAUGCAAUCGUUGUUGAAAAAUUGUUCCUGUUUGGAACCUCUUGUACUUGGAUUGAUUGCGACGCCUUGAACGUACAGGGGAGACUCUGUCCGCGUGCAGGGAAAACCCUGU
rnacentral:lncRNA from 1 species